rnacentral:rRNA from 1 species
AACGAACGCUGGCGGCAUGCCUAACACAUGCAAGUCGAACGAGACCUUCGGGCCUAGUGGCGCACGGGUGCGUAACGCGUGGGAACCUGCCUUUAGGUUCGGAAUAACUCCCCGAAAGGGGUGCUAAUACCGGAUAAUGUCGUCGGACCAAAGAUUUAUCGCCGUAGGAUGGGCCCGCGUUGGAUUAGCUAGUUGGUAGGGUAAAGGCCUACCAAGGCGACGAUCCAUAGCUGGUCUGAGAGGAUGAUCAGCCACACUGGGACUGAGACACGGCCCAGACUCCUACGGGAGGCAGCAGUGGGGAAUAUUGGACAAUGGGCGAAAGCCUGAUCCAGCAAUGCCGCGUGAGUGAUGAAGGCCUUAGGGUUGUAAAGCUCUUUUACCCGGGAUGAUAAUGACAGUACCGGGAGAAUAAGCCCCGGCUAACUCCGUG